GUGCGGCUCCUCUUCCAGAUAUUGAACCCUGAACCACGCGGGACGUGGAGGGAAACAUUUACGACAUCUGGCGCCUGAGGGGAACUCUGGAAGUGAAGGUUUUGCUAGAGCGAAAAAACGAAGUUUCACUGGCAAAGUGAGGAACAAAGAAUUCACCGUAAAGAUAUUGAACCCUGAACCACGCGGGACGUGGAGGGAAACAUUUACGACAACCCAGUGAGAAAAUUUUGAAGGGAAACACUGAAAAAUAGAAGCAAGAAAUUUUCUAAACCAUUUUAAGAAAGAAAA